GAUGCAGAUGAUGUCCAAAGUGUCACCUACUCUCUGAUUGAAUUUAAAAACUCUGGACACAGAAGAAGGCAUCCUGAACCAGAAGGGGGCGCUGUUUACUCUGAGGUUAACAGAACCUCUCCAGGGGAGCUGAGUCCUGCAGCAGCCGACGUCGUUUAUUCUGAAGUAGGAAGAAAACUUUAUGAUGAUACCGCCAUGUAGACCUCAGCUUUUAUAACAAAAAUAAAAGAUACCAAAACUAUAAUCCUACCUACUGAAAUUAGAAGCAUUUUAAAUUUUGCGACAAUCUGAUCAACUACUUUUCUAUCAUGUUCCAUAGAUUUUGUAAUUGCCCAAAAUUUCCCAUUUGUAGAUGUAAGACAUUCAUUGUUCUUUUUAUCUUUCAUGAUACUCAGUGACGAAUAUUUCCAUUUGAUUUUGGGUCACAGAUGUGUAUU